AAUAAAGUGGCCGAGAUUAGGCGGUAAAUUGUAAAUUUACAUACGAGUGUUAUACUCCUUUAUUA
rnacentral:tRNA from 1 species